ACCAGAGGGCAGUAUGAAGAGGUGAAAGGUCACGUUAUGUAAGCGCUGGUGACAGGCCUGCGGGCCUCCAGCGGCGGAGUUGAAAAUGGGGGUCAGCGGGGGACCGAAAGGCCUGGAAUUCAAAGAGGUCAGACCAGAGAAGCCCCUUAACAUAUACAGACACUGCGCCAUCUGUCACCGACGGCGACACCGACAUCCGGGCACCACUGUCCGUGUGGUGCGCCGGAGGGGGAGGGGGAGCGCGCGGCCAGGGGCUUUGUCUUUCCACCGUGCUCCGCCCCCUCCUUAAAGGCGCCGCGUUCGGCCACGCCCGGGGAGGCGCGGGUGGGGCGGAAAGAGAGGACGGGUUGGCGGGAAUAAGCCCCAAGAUCUUACCCAAGCGAAGGUUCUCAAGAACCCCUUGAGCCCCCAGUCUUGCUCACCCCAAAGUUAACUUCUGGAAGAGAGUGUGGUGGAGAUGUGGAUACUAGUAUGAUGCUUGUUUUUAGGGGCUUGGUGGAACGGAUCAUACAGGAGCUUCUUUGGAAAAAUAUACUAAAAGACAUACCUAGUAAAGAUACAUCCAUUAACUCUAAUAGUCUUUCGCAGCACCUCCAAAGUUGAGGGCUCUGGACUGGGAGCUUCAGAGGAAAAACAAACAAUAAGACAGAGACUGUUCUGAGAAAACAAGAGGCACGAAUAAUGCCAGUUCGGUGAAGAGUGCUGUCGGAAGUGCACAGUCCGAAGACAGCAGUAACUGCCUGGAGAGUGACGACAUUUGAGCUGCUUCCCCGAGCACACUACACCCGCAUAGUCCAAACUAUGUCCUACCCAGGACAAGCCGAAACACUCACGGAUAAUUCUCUCCCUAAUUAAAUUGUCCCCUUCCGUUCAAAGAUCUUCACUGGCCUCAGAACAUACCUCCCCAGCCUGUUCUUCAACAGGGCGGAGAAAGCGGGGGUGCAUGGCAGUGCCAGACCCUUUUCUUCUCAUCUUGAGGUGAGAAGUCUCCCCCCAGGGAAGGGUAAGUACCAGGUCAGUCGCCAUCCCAAUGGAGCCUCCUCUGGGCACCUAGCAGAGAUAGGACUGCAUCCUCCUUCGGUGGCUAUUUCUUCUAAAAGGAUUAUGAGCAACCUCGGAGGACAGGACAUUUGAGUCGAUUGUGAAAAGGAAUCAAGAGCGCAAAAAGGAACUGGACGGAAAGCAGAUUGUGACUGCCAGAGCCUUGGGGGAGUGGCAAACACGGAGCACCUGCUUAACGGGUCCAAGGUCAUGAAAAGGUUUGGAGAAAGCUAGCAAUGGCCACACAGUGUUGUGAAUGCACUUAUUACCACUAAGCGGUACCCUUUUAAAUGGUUAAAAUGGUAAAUUUGAUGUUGUAUGCACUUUACCAUACUCUAAAAAAGUAAAAAUGAAAGAAAAAAAACCACUCAUGAAUGCCUCCUAAAGACCUGGAGCCAUGGCAAACAUACGCUGGUUGCAUUCAGUGUGCAGAGGGACGGAAGUGUAAAUCAGACUACAUGACAACUUCAAGAGGGAUCUCCAAAUCGCUUCUAUCAGAAAGCUCCUCUGUGGGAGUAAGACAAUUGGCAGGCACUCAGCCACCACCCCACGAGGCCCUGCCCCCACAACCUUCAAGAAAGAAGCACUCAAAUACCAACAAGACGUAUUUCAAAUAGUUUAAUUUUAAAAAUAUUCUAUUCAGUGCUAAAAUAUGUCUUCACUCACUGUUGCCCAUUUCCAUUUUCUUAAACUUUUUUGAACAAAAAAUAAAAUCACAAAGUUCAAUUAAA